CAGAAAGUAGUUUGUGCUGUU
rnacentral:miRNA from 1 species